rnacentral:ncRNA from 1 species
UAGUGAAAGAAGUGUAGCCACAUGGCCUAUAUUUUCUCCUGGUUGUGUUGAAACCUUACUUUCCUGUCACCUCCUACCUGUUUAUAUUCUCUAUGCCUUGACCGAAGAAAAUCUUGCUAUGUCUCUGUCACUGGCUUUGUCUUGCUCUAUCUUUGUCUCUCUUUCUCUGGCUCUGUCUCUGUUGUUGUCUCUCUUUCUCUAAUCAAAUCCCCUUUGAUCGGUUCUCUCUUAAUUUGUCUCUAUCGAUGUCGCGCUCUACCUCCAACUACUAACUAACUAUGGAAUGGGCGUUGGCGCGGGCGCAUGCUUAUUGUUUGGUUUUUUUGGGUGUUUGAAUUUUUAUGUUUUUUAAUUUUAUUGUUUUGUUUUAUAUAUAUAUAACCUUAUAAUAGUCAACUCAGAGUUGGUUUGGACAAGGGGAAUCUGACUAUUUAAUUAAAACAAAGAAUUGCGAUGGUCCCUGCAGAUGCUGACACAAUGUGAUUUUUUCCCUGUGCUUUGAAUGUUAAAGUGAAGAAAUUCAACCAAGCAUCGAUAAACGACAGGAGUAAAUAUGAUUCUCUUAAGGUAGCCAAAUGCCUUGUCAUCUAAUUAGUGAUGCACAUGAAUGGAUUAACUAGAUUCCCACUAUCCCUAUCUAUUGUCUAGUGAAACCACGACCAAGGGGAUGGGCUUGGAGUAAUCAACAGGGAAAGAAGACCUUGUUGAGCUUGACUCUAGUAUGACUUUGUGAAAUGACUUGAGAGGUGUAGAAUAAGUGGGAUUCUUUUUCAACACAAAUUAAAUACCACUGCUUUUAACGUUAUUUUACUUAUUAUGUGGGGCGGAGAGGGGCAUUUACCCUAUUUUUGGCCUUAAGACAUGUUUCGAUGGGUCGAUCUGGGCACAUUUUCAGGGGGGGAUUUUGGAUGGGGUGACACAUCUGUUAAAAGAUAACAUCAAAUAUAAUUGGUGUAGAUAGAACAUUUUUAUUUGGGAGAUCCUAGUGCACAACCACCCUUAUUACAUUUCCCUCUUAAUUUUUAGUUACAUCCAAUAAUUUAUAAAUUGAAUCUAGUCUCCUCACUUGCACAAUAUGGAUAGAUGUGUGAACCCUGCCCC